rnacentral:SRP_RNA from 1 species
GCACCAGGUGUGGUGGUGCAUACCCAUGGUUCCAGCUAAUUGGAUGCUGAGGCAGGAGGAUUGCUUGAGUCCAGGAGUUCUGGGCUGUAAUGUGCUAUGCUGAUUGGGUGUCUGCAUUAAAUUCAACAUCUGUUUGGUGACCUCCCAGAAGCAGGGGAUCACCAGGGGUUGCCUAAGAAGGGGUGAACUGGUCUAGGUCAGAAAUGAAGCAGGUCAAACAUCUGUGCUAAUUAGCAGUGGAAUCAUGCCUGGGAAUAACCAUUGCACUCCAGCCUGGGCAACAUAGCAAAACCCCAUCACU